rnacentral:rRNA from 1 species
GUCUUGUAAUUGGAAUGAUGGGAAUUUAAACCCCUUCCAGAGUAUCAAUUGGAGGGCAAGUCUGGUGCCAGCAGCCGCGGUAAUUCCAGCUCCAAUAGCGUAUAUUAAACUUGUUGCAGUUAAAAAGCUCGUAGUUGAAUUUCUGCUGCAUCGUGGUUCUUCGCUAUGUCGAGUGAUCUUCGUUGUGGCUUAGUUGGGGCAUGUUUUCAUGACUCGACGUUUACUUUGAGAAAACUAGAGUGCUUCAAGCAGGCUUUUGCCUUGAAUACUUUAGCAUGGAAUAAUGGAGUAGGACUUUGGUUCUAUUUUGUUGGUUUUAGGAGCCGGAGUAAUGGUUAAUAGGAACAGUUGGGGGCAUUCGUAUUUGACUGUCAGAGGUGAAAUUCUUAGAUUUGUCAAAGACGAACUACUGCGAAAGCAUUUGCCAAGGAUGUUUCCAUUAAUCAAGAACGAAAGUUAGGGGAUCGAAGACGAUCAGAUACCGUCGUAGCCCUAACCAUAAACUA